AUUCAGCGGCGGACGGGUGAGUAAUGCCUAGGAAUCUGCCCGAUAGUGGGGGACAACGUUUCGAAAGGAACGCUAAUACCGCAUACGUCCUACGGGAGAAAGCAGGGGACCUUCGGGCCUUGCGCUAUCGGAUGAGCCUAGGUCGGAUUAGCUAGUUGGUGGGGUAAAGGCUCACCAAGGCGACGAUCCGUAACUGGUCUGAGAGGAUGAUCAGUCACACUGGAACUGAGACACGGUCCAGACUCCUACGGGAGGCAGCAGUGGGGAAUAUUGGACAAUGGGCGAAAGCCUGAUCCAGCCAUGCCGCGUGUGUGAAGAAGGUCUUCGGAUUGUAAAGCACUUUAAGCUGGGAGGAAGGGCAGUAAGCUAAUACCUUGCUGUUUUGACGUUACCAGCAGAAUAAGCACCGGCUAACUUCGUGCCAGCAGCCGCGGUAAUACGAAGGGUGCAAGCGUUAAUCGGAAUUACUGGGCGUAAAGCGCGCGUAGGUGGUUCAGCAAGUUGGAUGUGAAAGCCCCGGGCUCAACCUGGGAACUGCAUCCAAAACUACUGGGCUAGAGUAUGGUAGAGGGUGGUGGAAUUUCCUGUGUAGCGGUGAAAUGCGUAGAUAUAGGAAGGAACACCAGUGGCGAAGGCGACCACCUGGACUAAUACUGACACUGAGGUGCGAAAGCGUGGGGAGCAAACAGGAUUAGAUACCCUGGUAGUCCACGCCGUAAACGAUGUCAACUAGUUGUUGGGUUCCUUGAGGACUUAGUAACGAAGCUAACGCGAUAAGUUGACCGCCUGGGGAGUACGGCCGCAAGGUUAAAACUCAAAUGAAUUGACGGGGGCCCGCACAAGCGGUGGAGCAUGUGGUU
rnacentral:rRNA from 1 species